rnacentral:rRNA from 1 species
AACGUAGGAGGCGAGCGUUAUCCGGAUUUACUGGGCGUAAAGGGCACGCAGGCGGCUGGGUGAGUUGGACGUGAAAGCUCCUGGCUUAACUGGGAGAGGUCGUUCGAGACUGCCCGGCUUGAGGUAGGGAGAGGGGUGCGGAAUUCCCGGUGUAGUGGUGGAAUGCGUAGAUAUCGGGAGGAACACCAGUGGCGAAAGCGGCACCCUGGCCCGUACCUGACGCUGAGGUGCGAAAGCGUGGGGAGCAAAC